rnacentral:rRNA from 1 species
GACGAACGCUGGCGGCGUGCCUAAUACAUGCAAGUUGAGCGCUGAAGGUUGGUACUUGUACCGACUGGAUGAGCAGCGAACGGGUGAGUAACGCGUGGGGAAUCUGCCUUUGAGCGGGGGACAACAUUGGGAAACGAAUGCUAAUACCGCAUAAAAACUUUAAACACAAGUUUUAAGUUUGAAAGAUGCAAUUGCAUCACUCAAAGAUGAUCCCGCGUUGUAUUAGCUAGUUGGUGAGGUAAAGGCUCACCAAGGCGAUGAUACAUAGCCGACCUGAGAGGGUGAUCGGCCACAUUGGGACUGAGACACGGCCCAAACUCCUACGGGAGGCAGCAGUAGGGAAUCUUCGGCAAUGGACGAAAGUCUGACCGAGCAACGCCACGUGAGUGAAGAAGGUUUUCGGAUCGUAAAACUCUGUUGGUAGAGAAGAACGUUGGUGAGAGUGGAAAGCUCAUCAAGUGACGGUAACUACCCAGAAAGGGACGGCUAACUACGUG